AACGAACGCUGGCGGCAGGCCUAAUACAUGCAAGUCGAACGCGCCCUUCGGGGUGAGCGGCGGACGGGUGAGUAACGCGUGGGAAUAUGCCCUUCUCUAAGGAAUAGCCUCUGGAAACGGAGAGUAAUACCUUAUACGCCCUUUGGGGGAAAGAUUUAUCGGAGAAGGAUUAGCCCGCGUUAGAUUAGGUAGUUGGUGGGGUAAUGGCCUACCAAGCCUACGAUCUAUAGCUGGUUUGAGAGGAUGAUCAGCCACACUGGGACUGAGACACGGCCCAGACUCCUACGGGAGGCAGCAGUAGGGAAUCUUAGACAAUGGGGGCAACCCUGAUCUAGCCAUGCCGCGUGUGUGAUGAAGGCCCUAGGGUCGUAAAGCACUUUCGCCAGAGAUGAUAAUGACAGUAUCUGGUAAAGAAACCCCGGCUAACUCCGUGCCAGCAGCCGCGGUAAUACGGAGGGGGUUAGCGUUGUUCGGAAUUACUGGGCGUAAAGCGCACGUAGGCGGAUUAGUAAGUUAGAGGUGAAAUCCCAGGGCUCAACCCUGGAACUGCCUUUAAUACUGCUAGUCUUGAGUUCGAGAGAGGUAAGUGGAAUUCCGAGUGUAGAGGAAAAAUUCGUA
rnacentral:rRNA from 1 species